rnacentral:rRNA from 1 species
AACGAACGCUGGCGGCGUGCCUAACACAUGCAAGUCGAACGAGAAAGGGGCUUCGGCUCCGAGUAAAGUGGCGCACGGGUGAGUAACACGUGGGUAACCUGCCUCUAAGAUUGGGAUAACUCGUCGAAAGAUGAGCUAAUACCGAAUAAGACCACAGUUCCUGCGGGAACAGGGGUCAAAGGUAGCCUCUGCUUGCAAGCUAUUACUUAGAGAUGGGCCUGCGCACCAUUAGCUAGUUGGUAGGGUAACGGCCUACCAAGGCAAAGAUGGUUAGCUGGUCUGAGAGGAUGAUCAGCCACACUGGAACUGAGACACGGUCCAGACUCCUACGGGAGGCAGCAGUGGGGAAUAUUGCGCAAUGGGCGAAAGCUUGACGCAGCAACGCCGCGUGAGUGAUGAAGGCCUUCGGGUCGUAAAGCUCUGUCGGGAGGAACGAAUGCUCCUGAGGUUAACAGCCUCGGGAGGUGACGGUACCUUCAAAGGAAGCACCGGCUAACUCUGUGCCAGCAGCCGCCGUAAAAC